rnacentral:rRNA from 1 species
UACGUAGGGCGCAAGCGUUGUCCGGAAUUAUUGGGCGUAAAGAGCUCGUAGGCGGCUUGUCACGUCGAUUGUGAAAGCCCGAGGCUUAACCUCGGGUCUGCAGUCGAUACGGGCUAGCUAGAGUGUGGUAGGGGAGAUCGGAAUUCCUGGUGUAGCGGUGGAAUGCGCAGAUAUCAGGAGGAACACCGAUGGCGAAGGCAGGUCUCUGGGCCACUACUGACGCUGAGACGCGAAAGCGUGGGGAGCAAACAGG